GGACUCGUGGUCUAGUGGUUAUGACGUUUGUCUUACAAUUUAUCAGGAGCACAAACGGUCGCCGGUUCGAUCCCGGCCGAGUUCA